rnacentral:tRNA from 1 species
UUUGUAAUAGCUUUAGGCAUUUCAUUUUGCAAAAAUGAAUUUAGAGUUUUAUUACUCUUUACAAAU